GGCUGGUCAAUAGGGGGCGCUGGGGCGCCGCCCCCCCUUCAAGUUAGCCUACUUUAAUAUGUUAAUAUUUAUUAUCACAAAUAUUAACAAAAUAAAUUGAUUUAAUGAUAACACUCUACAGUUAGUCAUACUAACAUUUAUUGAAAAUAAAAAAAAUGUAUGAACAAUAUUUUUUCAUAUGUGUGCGGGGCGCCGGACUAAUGAGUGUCUAUGUAGAUACACGAACUUUUGCAAUACAUGUGAUAUGACAAAAAGCUCUAAUUGGCCCGUUUUAAAUUGUCCUUGGGGCGCAGCACUCUGCGCCCCGAACCCGCCCAUUUAUGUUGUCAGAACGAAUCAUAUUUGUUUUUAUAUGGUUGGCCUUAUGUGAUUGGACCAUUCCCACUUGGACCUUUCACUUAGCAAGCAGCUCCUCAGUUAACUGACGACUAUUAAUCAUAGUGGAAGCAAGUGCAAUUUCUCGAAAUGAAGGAAAAUUCCGUUGUAUCUUUGCAAAGAUAUCCAUUCACAAGGCGUUUGGAUGAAGAAAAAAAAAGAAUCAAGGAGCUUGGACCAGAUCGACCUUCCUUGCAAAUUCAACAGCAGUCAAGUGAUCGUGGGCGCGCGUACACUCGGGGCUUUUCCAGCACUUGUUAUGACAAACGGAGCUGGCUGGCAGGUUGUGAUGUAAGUCAUGCCUUUUACUGUUUCCCGUGUUUGCUGUUUCAAAGUCCUGGCACCGAAACGUUGUGGAAAACAACAGGGGUUCGCGAUUUAAAACACCUUUCUGAAAAGUGCAAGCGUCAUGAAAGUAGCCGAAGCCAUCUUGACAACGCUAUGAGGCUCCAGUUUUUUGGGAAGCUUAGCAUUGCCCAACAGCUAGAUGAGGGCUACAGGAUUGGCAUUAGAAGGCACAAUGAAGAGGUUAGGAAAAAUAGACACAUCCUGUCUAGAAUAAUAGACUGUGUUAAAUUUUUUGGUGCGUUUGAGCUGGCUUUGCGUGGCCAUGAUGAGAGCGAGAGCUCGGAUAACCCCGGUAUCUUCCGUGGCCUGGUCGAUUUUGUUGCUUCCCUUGACGGAGUUUUAAAAGAGCACCUCGACAAUGCCACUGUGUUUAAGGGAACUUCAAAAACCGUGCAGAACGAGCUGUUGGACUGUAUGUUGUCUGUUGUGAGGGAACACAUAAUUGAAGAGGCACAGAGCAGCAAAUUUCUCUCAAUCCAGGCCGACGAGACCACCGAUAUUUCCACACAGUGUCAACUUGUGCUUGUGUUGCGGUACAUUGACUCAAAAAACAACGUACAGGAGAGAUUUUUUGAGUUUAUUCCUCUGCGUUCAAGUACAGCUGAUUCCAUCUCCACAGUACUUAAAGAACGUCUUUCUGUCAUCCUUCCUGGGGAUCAAAAGAAUAAACUCAUCUCGCAAGCGUAUGAUAGAGCCAGCGUGAUGAGGGGUGCCACGGCAGGUGUUCAAAAAAAAAUCCAAGAUGUGUACCCAAAUGCCCAUUACAUCCACUGCUAUGCACAUCAACUCAACCUAAUAAUGCAACAGGCCACUUCUAACAUUUCCAAAGUGAGAAUUUUUUUUUCUGACCUUGGAGGAUUUUCCAGCUUUUUUUCAAGUUCACCCAAACGCACAGACGUCCUUGAUAAAGUAGUGGCCCAUAGACUACCAACAUCAAGCAAUGUUAGGUGGAAUUUCCACAGCCGUGCCAUCAAUACAGUGUUUGAGCACAGAUAGGACCUCAUGCGCUGUUUUCAAACAUAUCGAGACUCGGGGGACUUUGACCCUGUUGCUGUCAGAGAGGCAGGAGCCUUUGCCAUGCUGCUGGAGAAUCAGGAUUUUAAUUUUUUCUUGCGACUUUUCCACAACAUCAUGCCACAUGUGGACAUCCUUUAUGCCAAACUCCAGAAGAAGGACAUCGAUUCAGUCCACAUCAGGGGGAGCAUCCAGCAAUUCCAGCAGGACAUACAGAAGAUCAGAAAUUCUCUCCAUUCCCUGGUUGACCAAUGCAGUGAAGGUGGUUUUCAACAGAAGAGGCGGCGGUCCCUCAGUCCAGAGGUUCAUGAACAGAUAGCAGCAGAAGUCUGUGAUACCAUACUCACACACACACUGGAGCGGUUCUCCUUCACAGACCACCUCGUUAGUGCCACAUUGCUGCAGGCAGACAGGUUUGAGCAGUAUACAGUAGCUUUUCCAGAAGAUGCACUUAGCAGGACUCUGAAAGCCUAUUCUGUGCUCGAUGGAAGUAAGCUAAAGACAGAGCUCAGUCUCAUCUACUCCAAGGAUGAGUUCAGAGCCUGUUGUGGUGCUUUGGACCUACUCCAGCUGUUUAUGGAGAACAAUCUUGAGGAAGUCUUUUCAGAGACUGUAACUUUCCUAAAGAUUCUGGUAACUAUGCCUAUGACCACAGCAGAAGCUGAGAGGUGCUUCUCAACUUUGAAAAGAAUAAAAACUUUUCUGAGAAACAGCAUGACCCAAGAGAGGCUGAAUGCAUUGGCCAUGCUGUCAAUAGAGAAGAGACUAGUGACUGAGAUGACUGACUUCAACCAAAAGGUCAUUGAGAAAUUUGCAAGCCAGAAAGAAAGGAGAGCAAAAUUUAUUUUCAAGUAGUGCUACUGGCCAGUGAUUAGGCAACAUCUAUGUGUGUCUGUGCAUGUGUUUAUUGAUUACUUCAUUACUGAUAAUAAACCUAAAUUGAACUAAAA